AACGCGAAGAACCUUACCUGGGCUCGAAAUGUAGUGGAAGCCGGAUGAAAGUUCGGUGCCCGCAAGGGCCGCUAUAUAGGUGCUGCAUGGCUGUCGUCAGCUCGUGUCGUGAGAUGUUGGGUUAAGUCCCGCAACGAGCGCAACCCUCAUCUUUAGUUGCUAGGCCGCAAGGUCGCACUCUAAAGAAACUGCCGGCCACAAGCCGGAGGAAGGUGGGGAUGACGUCAAGUCCUCAUGGCCUUUAUGUCCAGGGCUACACACGUGCUACAAUGGGCGGUACAAAGCGUCGCCAACCCGCGAGGGGGAGCCAAUCGCAAAAAACCGCUCUCAGUUCGGAUUGCAGUCUGCAACUCGACUGCAUGAAGCUGGAAUCGCUAGUAAUCGCGGAUCAGCACGCCGCGGUGAAUACGUUCCCGGGCCUUGUACACACCGGCUAC
rnacentral:rRNA from 1 species